UACGAGGGGAGCUAGCGUUGUUCGGAAUUAUUGGGCGUAAAGCGCGUGUAGGCGGCUUGGCAAGUCGGGUGUGAAAGCCCUCAGCUCAACUGAGGGAGUGCGCCCGAAACUGCUGAGCUUGAGUGCCGGAGAGGAUGGCGGAAUACCCCAAGUAGAGGUGAAAUUCGUAGAUAUGGGGUGGAACACCGGUGGCGAAGGCGGCCAUCUGGACGGUAACUGACGCUGAGACGCGAAAGCGUGGGUAGCAAACAGG
rnacentral:rRNA from 1 species